UUACCUGUACUUGUACUUGACUGCCAAAAAUGCUGUCGAGGCAUCUGUACAUCUUCUUUGUCGAAUUGCAUUAUUAAAGUACAUCAAGAUGAGACAUCAUAUACAUUCAUAUAUAUUUGUUGAGCACGAAACCUUGAAGUGUAGCCAGGACAUUUCCAAGAAACUAUGGGCGGCCAUGUAGCUUCAAUAUCUUAUAAAUUAUAUCACUGAACAUAGGUCAAGGUGUAUUCAGUAAACAAAGAUCUGAAGGGCUGUAUUUCCUUCAUCGAACACACUAUGCGUUCAUCACAGGUUGUGACGGAUUACGGAUACGAACGAACUAGUACUUGUUUGGCAGACUCGUCUGAAAGAUGACAUAAAAGCGUCCCGUACAAGGUUGGCUGUACAUAACGAUCAGCUGACAGCUUCAGAGAUUCCCAAUCAACAAGAACGAUGAAGUCUACCUUGGCUGCCAUCCUUAUUCUUUCGCUGUGUGCUGUCAGUACCCUGGCAGCAUCAACAUCAACGUCGAUGGCUACUGAAUCAACGACAGUGCCUGGUGACUCAUCGACAGUGGCUGGUGACUCAUCGACAAUGGCUGGUGACUCAUCGACUGCCACGACCACCAAGAGUGGCGCCAGCAACGUCGCCAUCUCCAUGGCGUGCGUCGUUGGGGUCUACGGUGGGUGGAUGGCGCUGAAACUAGCCCUGUAGCAGAACUCAACGACCGACAUCUCUGUGGUGAAGUGGAUACAGAUAUGAACUUCAAGUACAAGACUUGUCUUUGCUUCAACUGAUGCGCAUCACCAUUCGUCACCUCUCGCGUCUUUCCGUAAUCAUCGCAUCAUGUCCCGGAAUGACCCGAGUGGUCACGAAUGGUCCCCAUAUCACGUCUUUGAGGGGAAAUCAACUCCGGAACUAUUGAAUAUUGACACUGAGAAAUUUGACAAUAUGUAACGUUUGAGAAUGUUCCAAAAAUCCAUUUUAUAUAUCUGUGUAAAAAUUUUUUACGAUCAAUCAAUGUUUCUUUGUUAAUACCGUUUGAGCAAAUCAGCUGGCAAAAAACGUUUUCUUUCUUGUAUUUUACAUCAUAUCUGUGUCCAUUGUAUUCCCCGAUUGUUUUGUUAUCUUACCUAUCGUAUACACUUUCAUAAGUAAACCAACGACGCCAUUUUUAUCUCGGGACGGUAUUUCAAUCAGGUUCGUUCCUGCAGUAGCGGGAUGCCAUUGUGUACUCGUCCAUCUGUUUACGCACUUCAGUCUAUGGCUAUGACUUGGUCUCUUUGAUUGAUCAGCUGACAACAAAUCCACUGUUUCUUCACGGGAAAAAGUAGUUCUGAUUAUGAUUAAAAUAUAUUUUUUUACUAUGAAAUACCCCCCCCCCCCCCCCCCCCCCCCCCUUUUACACAUAAACACACGAGUGCCACGACUGAUUUGAAGCGAUAGCAUUGCACACCUUGUGUUAAUAUAUAGAGACAGGGGGGUGCUUGAUUGUGAAAUACCAUACGAUUUUAUCAUAAUCAGAACUUCCUGUGGUUUCUUUUUAAUAAAAAUUUUGUUUGCAUCUCAA
rnacentral:misc_RNA from 1 species